CGCCAGACUCCUACGGGAGGCAGCAGUGGGGAAUAUUGCACAAUGGGGGAAACCCUGAUGCAGCAACGCCGCGUGAGUGAAGAAGUAUUUCGGUAUGUAAAGCUCUAUCAGCAGGGAAGAAGAUGACGGUACCUGAGUAAGAAGCCCCGGCUAACUACGUGCCAGCAGCCGCGGUAAUACGUAGGGGGCAAGCGUUAUCCGGAUUUACUGGGUGUAAAGGGAGCGUAGACGGUGAGACAAGUCUGAAGUGAAAGCCCGGGGCUCAACCCCGGGACUGCUUUGGAAACUGCCUGACUGGAGUGCUGGAGAGGCAAGCGGAAUUCCUAGUGUAGCGGUGAAAUGCGUAGAUAUUAGGAGGAACACCAGUGGCGAAGGCGGCCUGCUGGACGAUGACUGACGUUGAGGCUCGAAAGCGUGGGGAGCAAACAGGAUUAGAUACCCUUGUA
rnacentral:rRNA from 1 species